rnacentral:rRNA from 1 species
GAUGAACGCCGGCGGCGUGCCUAAUACAUGCAAGUCGAGCGAACAGACGAGGAGCUUGCUCCUCUGACGUUAGCGGCGGACGGGUGAGUAACACGUGGAUAACCUACCUAUAAGACUGGGAUAACUUCGGGAAACCGGAGCUAAUACCGGAUAAUAUAUUGAACCGCAUGGUUCAAUAGUGAAAGACGGUUUUGCUGUCACUUCUAGCUGGAUCCGCGCCGCAUUAGCUAGUUGGUAAGGUAAAGGCUUACCAAGGGAACGAUGCGUAGCCGACCUGAGUGAGUGGUCGCCCACACUGGAACGGAGCCACGGUCCAGACGCCUGAGGGAGGCAGCAGUAGGGAAUCUUCCGCAAUGGGCGAAAGCCUGGCGGAGCAACGCCGCGUGAGUGAUGAAGGUCUUCGGAUCGUAAAACUCUGUUAUUAGGGAAGAACAAAUGUGUAAGUAACUAUGCACGUCUUGACGGUACCUAAUCAGAAAGCCACGGCUAACUACGUG